UACGAAGGGGGCUAGCGUUGCUCGGAAUCACUGGGCGUAAAGCGCACGUAGGCGGAUCUUUAAGUCAGGGGUGAAAUCCUGGAGCUCAACUCCAGAACUGCCUUUGAUACUGGGGAUCUCGAGUCCGGAAGAGGUGAGUGGAACUCCGAGUGUAGAGGUGAAAUUCGUAGAUAUUCGGAAGAACACCAGUGGCGAAAGCGCUCUACUGGGCCAUAACUGACACUGAGGGACGAAAGCUAGGGGAGCGAAAGGG
rnacentral:rRNA from 1 species